CCUGUUUAACAAAAACAUGUCUUUUUGAGUUAUUUUUAAAGUCUGACCUGCCCACUGAAAUUAUUUAAAUGGCCGCAGUAUUCUAACUGUGCAAAGGUAGCAUAAUCAUUAGUCUUUUAAUUGAAGGCUGGUAUGAACGGUUGGACGAGGUAUAAGCUGUUUCAUAUAAAUUUAUAAUAGAAUUUUAUAUUUUAGUCAAAAAGCUAAAAUUUAAUUAAAAGACGAGAAGACCCUAUAAAUCUUUAUACUUUAUGUUGUUUAAAUUUUUUAGAUUAGUUUUAUUUUUAUAAUUUAAAGUAUUUUGUUGGGGUGAUAUUAAAAUUUAAUGAACUUUUAAUUAUUAAAAAUCAUUAAUUUAUGAACUAUUGAUCCGUUAGUAGUGAUUAUAAGAUUAAGUUACUUUAGGGAUAACAGCGUAAUUUUUUUGGAGAGUUC
rnacentral:rRNA from 1 species